CAACUGUGGGGAAUUCAGCUUCUCUUUUAAAAUGAGGUCCAGAGAUCAGGAAGGCUCCAGGGAGUUGGAAACAUCUCAGCUGGUUUUGGGAAUCAGGUGAGAACAGGUCAUGGGGCCUAAGAGGACAGAGGUUCCGACAGAGAGGAUAUGGGAGCCAAGGGAGGGCAGCGAUCAUAGGAGAGGAGACUGUGACAGGCAGUGCACAGGCCUUGCGGAGAGUCACGGGCAGCGGGCAGAGCAGGCGCGGCGGCAGCAGCGUCCGCUGCAGAGCUCAGAGGGGACGGGGUGCAGAGAUGAGCCUCGGCUUCCUUCCUCAGAGCAAAUAACCAAACGUAAAAAACGUUUUACAGGCCAUGCAGUUUCCUAUUCCCUUGUAUGAAAUUAAAGUCCUUGGAUUGGAAUCACAGUAUCCUUUUUUUAGGUUAUGUUUCAGAUGCUCCGUUUUAGGUCUUGAACUCCCCAUGACACUCUAUUUUUCCCUGCUUUUUACUACACAAAGUCAAUAUUAAAACAUAAAUGAGGUUUGGACCUCCCUUUAUUACUCAUCAACUAUAGCUGGCUUAAAACUUGAGGGGAUUAGCUUUUUCCUACAGCCCAAAUGAAAUCGAACCUCCCUUUCUUUGUCUUCUCUCCCUCUCUACCUCUUUCCCUCCCCACCUCUUCUUUCCAUCAGCCCUUCCUUAAUUUGUCUUUUCUUUUUUUAAUUGAUUCUUACAUCAAAAACCAAAAAGAAUUAUGACACUAAUGAAGGACAUGUAACAAAAGAGAAGCAGUAGGCACAUCACCACUGAACUACGACAAAAAAAUUGUCUGACCCAUGCCGCCCCUCAAUCCUGUCCACAGGCAUUCUUAGUUAUUCCUGGUGGUCCCAGCAAGGAGUAGAAUUUAGUAGUUUGCUUUAUUCACUUGAUAAUAUCAUGUUUUCCACUUUGCCAAAUCAGCUUCCCUAUUAUCAUUUGCCACAAGCCUGUGGCUUUCACGGGGUGGACUAAAGCACAUGGUGGGGAAGCCUUGGCUGAUGCCUCAAUGUUGGUAGCUUUAGGGGAAGGUGCUUUAGACUGACUGUGAUCCACAGAGAACUGCCCUCUGGUCCCCAUGAACAGUGAUGGGCAAGUCUGAAGAGAAUUUCUUGGCCAUUCAGAUACCAAUGUCUUCAUGCACCUGAAAUGACUUGAAGAGAAUGAUCUGAAGAGAUGCAGGACCACAGAAAUGGGAGCAAUUUCAAGAGGACAGACAGACUCUGCCCCCUGCCCUGCCAACACCCGCAGCCACGAUUGCCUUUCCUCCUCCUCCCCAUUCUCCUUUUCCGUCUCGCCGCAAGCCCAGAUUUCGUGCUGAGCCCUGCACAUGAAGUGUCUCCCUUAAAUGUCAUAAAGACCCCAUUCUACAGAUGAAGACACCAACGCAUUGAGGGCAUGAACAACAAGCCCAGAGGUACCCUGUCCCUCCACAGAGCUGGAUCCAGACCCAGUCUAGACCUAUUCCAGAGCCCAGCCUCACUGUGUCUGGGGCACGAUGGUCCCUGGCCUGGAGUGAAGAACACGAGAUCCGAACCUUCAGAGUACGCCUCUCUGCCUCAGCCAAGCUCUCUGUUCUGGAACCUCUGCAGGUUAUUUCUAAUUGAGAAGGUGCAGCAAAGCAGUUAGGGACCUGGACUCUCAAAUCCAGUACAGUCACAUGUUCUCAGCCACACGACCUGGGGAAGGCACCCAGCCACUCGCAGGCUGGAAGGAGGUUACAGAGGUCACCGAGGCACAGCCCUCACAGGAGAUGUGGGUGGCAUGGGCACUCAGGAAGUUAGCUGUUAUCAGUCAUUAUUCCUUGACACCCACUCUGCCUGUUUGUUCCCUCAAACUUCUUGCAAGAGAACUAUGAAGAGGUUGGGAUUCUUGCUGAUUUAUGGUCAUUACUGAUGAUGUCACGACUGUCCACUCAGGGCCCAAGGACACCAGGACAAGUUAGCAGCCUGCACAGGAAUCCAGGAAGUUGUUAUUUUAAUCUUUAAUGCUAGUUUUUUUUGCCAAGCUAAACAACCCCUAUCGGCCCCGUAGUAUGUUAACAUUUUGGGAAAAAUUUAUGAACUGCUCCAAUCCAUUUUUGGUAAAGCCCAUUACCUCUGAAUAUAGAAUCAAGGUUCCAAUUAAAGCUCUCCAUUAGAGAAUUAAAGUUAUUUGCCAAACCAGAAGAGAAAAAAGAUCAUUCUUCAUAAUUUUCAAGUUCAUCUGCCUGAAACCAGCAGUCUCCUUCCAGUCCUCAGGCAAGUGAUCAACUCAUUCAAUGUUUCAGAGCAUGGACCACAAAACAGAGAAACUUCUGGGAAUCUGGACAAAACAGUGCCUCCCCCCAAGGGAUCUCAGACAGUCGCUAGGGCUUGCACACACACAUAUGCGCACAUACACACACUCACAUGGUUGCUCUAGGAUCCUAACAUCUGUAGUCAAGGAGGUCCAAUGUUUUUAGGAGUAAAAAUAAAUCCCAAUUUCUUCCACUUUGGAAGCUCGUAGACGGCAGGCUUUGUAGGAGAAGUUAUUUCAACUGGGUUUAAAAGUUUUGGUACGGUUUUGCCGGAUAGAAAUAGAUGGGCAAAUACACAGAGGUUGAGAAGUC
rnacentral:lncRNA from 10 species